CACAAUUCCUCUUAAAAUGUCUACCAUGAGGUAAUAAGAUUUCAGGCCUUCACAAUUGUUCUAUGGUGGAAGAAUGUUUGCUUUUUCACAAAGAUUUUUUUUUAGUUAUGCAAACAUUAGUUUUGAUUUCCAAUAAUUCUAUUCAAUAAGAUUGUUAUAAUUUUGA